CAGCCGAACCAUACAGGAUAACAGGGGACUGCAACCAAGUUUUACAUUUACUGUUUCAUCGUCUCUUUGUGAGAGUCACGAAGUGGUAAUCUCUACAUUUCUUUGCUUCAAAUUGUGACAUCCCAGCAUACACUCUUCUGAAGAGGUCAUGAGCACCACAGAUCAACAGUGGAGCAGAGAGUCAACCUGUGUGGGGAAUAAAAGGUCCUGAUCCUGCAAGGUGCUGAGGGUCCGCAGCGAUCUGGCAGGCACCCCUGGACUCCCACUGAAAUCAAGGAGAGGUGAAGGUAUUCAGCAUCUUGCAGGAUAGCGCCCUUUGUCUAUAAAUUUUGGGCCAGAUCUUUGGGUGCUAAAGCUCCACUGAGGCUAAUAGAACUAUGCAGCUUUAUACAAGCUGAGGAGCUCACCUGUCCCACAGAUAUAUGGGAAAUCACCUGGGCCCACUGAAGAGAACUGAAUUUUAGAGUCAUAAGCAAUAUGCUGAGAGAAGUAAUGAAGGAACAGUUUUUCGAUGGGAACAAUGUCACUGGAGACCACAGCAAGAAAAAAA